ensembl:lncRNA
GGGGGUGUGCGCUUUUCAUGGCAGUGACAAAAAUGGGAGAGAAGACUAGCAGACACUUGCCAUGCCUGUUACCAUUUCAGCUCUGAGACACCCACUUCCACCCACCUUCCAUUGCCCAAAGUAAGUCGCAUGACCAAGCUGAACAUCAGUGGGAACUAGAAAUAUAUGUGGCCUAAUCUAGUGGGAGGGACUGCAAAGUCACACAGCUAAGGGCAAGGAUAUAUGAUUCUAAUAUUGAGGAGGGGUCAUAAAAAGUAGGGACUUGCCCCACUUUUCUUGAAGAUUUAUAAUGUGCAUUAGCAUGUUGAGGGCCCUGCAAAGUCCUGCAGUCAAUGAGCCUGUCUAACUGCUAACACAGCGUCCCCCAAACUUCUCUGAGCACAGAAUCCUACCAUCAUCCCACUGGCUUAGUGUUUCGAGACUUGCUGAUGCAGGCAGUUCAUCUUUAGAAGUCCAAGGAAGGAGAAGGCAGUGGACCCAGCUGCUCCUUAAAGAAUGGACUCAGCAAAGCAGAUGACGAGGCUUAUACAAAUGGUACAACAGAACUGAAAAGUUGUCGUAUGAGUUAAAGUCCCUUUUCUCAAGGCGCUCUUUCUUAUGAGAAUCUCAUCAAAUACUCCAUUCCCUCAUGGACAAGAAGAACCCAGAAUGAUAUCAGUGUUGUCUGAAAGAAAACACAACUGUCUUGGAGUCCGGUCUUCACUAGCCCCAGGGCCUAGGGAAAUGCCUCAAAAGGCGGGCUCUUCUCCUCUGAGGACUGGAGCAUGUCCUGCCAGCUGGGCUUCCUGCAAACACACAUGGAUUGGGAAGUGUGGCUGGAUUGGAAACAGAGAGAGGUGGAUGAAACAGGUUUCCCAUGAGAGUCUGAUCAUCUCCGGCUCGCUAAUAGAAGUUCCUCUGGAAUGGAGACGUGAGCUCUUUCCUCUUUCCUGUGAGGACCCGGACCAGGCACAGGCAGAGGAGCAGGAAGCAAGUUUGCCGACGUGGGUGCUGUCAACUCCGACUGUACGGGUGAACAGAGCUGCUCGGAAUGGCAUCUCACACUGUCUUCAGGAAGCGCCCAGGGCAAUGGGGUGAGGCCUGAGACACAGGCUGGGGCCUCCACUGCUCUGAGAAAUGGGUCUUUCGGAUGGCACCUUCACUUCAGACCGUCUGCCCCCAGGAGGCUUGACGAUCACUGAGAGCCACUGCUCAGAAAGGAAGAUCAUUCUUCAGGAGGUGGGAGACCUGGGAUCUAGAUGUCUCUCUACCAACCCACCUUUGACAAGCCCCUUCACCUUGCCGGGCCUCAGUUUCCCUGUUCUGUUUGGAGAACAACAGUGCCUGCCCCAUCCUGCCUCACAGAUUGCUACAAGGCUCAAUGCGGGGAAGGGCUUUGUGAAAUGCCAGCUCAGUCUGUUCCAGUUGAUUCUUACGUGAGUGAAUUCCGCAAUGACUGGGUACAGACUCUGCGCAAGUGUCACGCUAGGCUCUGGGGCCCAAAGAUGGCAGGACCUACUCUCUGCCCCCACAAGCUCACGGUCUAUUCAUGUUUCUAGAAGUGGACUUUGAUUCUGUACACUGUUCCUGCCCGUGAGGCAGAUAGUCUGCUGGCCGGUGGUGUUCUGGUGAUGGAGUUCUUUCCGUGCUAGCCUCCCUUCCUCCCCUGUGCUCUCCCCCUCCCCCACCACACUGCUUGCUCUGCAGGAAGGUGGAGCAGGAGGGCCCUCCACGCACCCUCUUAUCCGCGUGGCAGUUGAGGCCAGUGAAGCUCAGAGGACUGAAUGGCUCACCAGGACCCUGAGCAAGAUGACGGCUGCUGGGAGGCAGGUCUCCUGCCUGCUUUUUU